CAGUCUGUGAUCAUGCUGAUGUUCCUGAACCUCCACCAGAUGCUGGAUCAUCUCCGUUUGUUCCCGCAGUAGUCCCAGCACUGCAUCCUGCCUCCUCUGAUCUUCCUGCCACCACCUCUCCUCAAGUUCACUGCCCUCUUUCCUCUCCUGUGCUAUUGUGUCCCUCCAUGCUUUCUGCUGAGCUCUUUCAGUGCAGGACACCUGCAUGAGCUCAGAGAACAUUUCAUUGCACAUGCAUU